ACGCUGCUGGUGUAGUGGUAACAUGAGAGCUUCCCACGUGAUCUGUGGCCGACGACCUCGUCGGAUACGUGUGCUUUCGCCAGGGGUUCGAUUCCCCUGCAGCGUA